UACGUAGGGGGCAAGCGUUGUCCGGAAUCAUUGGGCGUAAAGCGCGUGUAGGCGGCUCGGUAAGUCCGCUCUGAAAGCCCGGGGCUCAACCCCGGGAGGCGGGUGGAUACUGCUGAGCUCGAGUCCGGAAGAGGAGUGUGGAAUUCCUGGUGUAGCGGUGAAAUGCGCAGAUAUCAGGAGGAACACCAAUGGCGCAGGCAGCACUCUGGGACGGUACUGACGCUGAGACGCGAAAGCGUGGGGAGCAAACAGG
rnacentral:rRNA from 1 species